UCUUCACAAGCACAAAGUAAUAAAUUUUUAUUUAAUUCACACUGAUGUAACUAGUACUGAAGAUGUGGUUAAACAGAAUGAAAUUUUAAGCUUAUGUCGUGGUUUAUAUUGAAUAAAUGUAGGGUUUGAAGGGUACGGGGUUAAUUUCACUUAGAAUUAUUAUGUCAAAAUCUAAAAAUAACCAUGGUAUUAUUAUGCAACAAACAAUAGCGGUGAUUCGUCGAUCCAAGAAUAGACAUGAUAUCAUGGUCCUUCGAUGGUGGUGACUCAUUGAUCUUAAAAUAACCAUGUCAUCACAUAAUUCAACAAAAGCAAUUACGUCAGGGAUUCCCUGAAAGAAGCGGUGAUAUCAUGAUCUAAAAAUAGCCAUGACAUCAUCGUAAUUUUAUCAUGUGGUUCUCACAAUUUGUAUUCAGGAAUUAUUAUUUAAAUGUAACUUAAGACUGAAAGCUAGUCGUUGCUAUCAAAAGGAAUGCGAUUGAAGUAAACAUAUGCCGCCACCUACGCCCACGCUGCGGCCGCUUGCAUCUUCAUCGCAUGUCUGCUGCUGGAUACACCUCUAUGCAGUUGCAACUUAUGCGAUCCUGAUACCAUCUCUUAAACUUUCUUCAUUGAAUGAAUCAAAUUUAGGAAACCAAUAGAUGUGAAGAUCAUGUCAUAGCCCAAAAUUUUAAUACCAUACAUGAUACAACAAUACUGAUGACUCAUCAAUCCGGAAAUAUCUAUGAUGUCAUAAUCUAAAUGCAGCCAUGACCUCAUGAUCCAAAAAUUGCAAUGCCAGGAGGGUAAUCCCAUAAUUUUCAAUGUGUGAUUCCCCACGAGAUUUCCAUCCUGACAUUAUGAUUCAAAAAUAACCAUGACAUCAUUAUACAAAAAUAGCACUGACAUCAGGGUAAUCACAUAAUUUUCAAUGCGAGAUUCUCCAAAGUGACGCACGCGCAGACAAAAACAAGCUAUGACAAAAUAAAAUUGACCUAUGAAAUUGGCGGGUUGUCAUCCCUUCCAUUUCAAGUUUGCGUUUACUAAAUAAGUUUCAAUUCUUAUUGGAUGAAUUUUGAGAGGUGGAGCAAAUUAAAGGCAACAAGGGUAAAUUGUAAAUUCUCAUCUUUUUCUAAUAUAGCUUCUUUGUCACAAAACUUCCUAUAUAAACAUAUGGAAACUUCUGCAGAUUUUAUCUUAAGUUAAAUACGAGUUCUUUUCGAGUGACUUAAGUUAGACCUUUAAAAAGAUGAAUAGUCCAAUAAGAAAACCAUCAGCCAGCUUAUGCACUGAGGAUAUGGUGACAUGUCCCUAUAAUAACCUACAUAGGCUAGUAUGGCAUAGGAUGGCCAAACACAUUUUUAAGUGUCACAGAGAAGAGGACGCAAAAAGAAAAAGAGAAUCCGAAAAUAAACAAAACGUAGAUCAGACAGAAAGUUGGGAUAACGAAAAUUAUCUUAAUAAAAAUAAACAAAACGCCGAAGAUCAGGAAGAAAGUUGGGAUAACGAAAAUUAUCUGACUGAAAAUAAACAAAACGCAGAAGACCAAGAAGCAAGUUGGACUAACGAAAAUUAUCUAACUGAAAAUAAGCAAAACGUUAACGAUCAGGAUGAAAGUUGGGAUAAUGACGAUUAUCUGAUUGAAAAUAAACAAAAUUCCGAAAAUGAAGAGGAAUGUUGGGAUAACGAAAGUUAUCUUAUGUAUUAAUACAGUAUAAUUGUGGAACUGUGAAAUAAAUAAGCUAGCAAAUAAGAAAGCAUUUAUAAAA